AUACAUUAAAUAAAUAUAUUAUUUUUUCAAGUUCAAACAGUGAUGUCCCACUGGAGGAAGUGAAGGUUAAGGCAGGCGAAUAUGUUGCCUCAGAAGCUGAUGAUGAUGAAGCAGAAGAUAUGGGUGGAAACUUCUAUGAAUUGCAAGGGCGACACAUUGUGGACAUAAAUUAAUUGAGGGCCUUAUAAGAGGAUGUCAUUCCUGCAAAGAAGCUCUGCGGUUGUCGUCUUGCAUGGGAGAUACCAGAUAUGGCCUAGGUAGUUUACUUCACAUUGAUUGUAUACAGUGUCAUAAAGUAACGCUCGGCCCAACUUGAACAAGACAUGGUCACAAUGUAUGGGACAUAAACUCCAAAU